UCUGGAUAAGCGUGGGGGGAGGUGUGGGGUGGGAGCCCCUGACAACUGAAGCUCCUGCCUUCCCGUAAGGGGAUGUGGUCGGCACAGCCCUGCCGUUCCUCCACAGCGGCUCACUUCUGCCCACGUCACUGCCAUUACAAACAUGACGACAGAGGGAAGACUGGAAACACCGAGUAUCACAAUGUGGAUGGAAAGCCAGAGUGCAGAGCCUUGCUGCCUUCCACGCUCACGUGCUCUCCAGGACACCCAGAUGCUCCGUCAGAAGGGAGCAACGCAUCCACUAGGCAAUUUCAUCUGUGUGAGCACAAAUAAACCAUAUAACUAUUUCCUAGUUUUGUUUUUUUUUUGUUCAUAUCAUCGCCUUGUGUACUCAGGGAUUAAGGAACAUGACCCUAUAAAUGAAAUGAAAUAAAAUAUAAUUGGUUCCUUCAGCCAAGCAGAGUAUUUUCAAUGCCCCAUUUUAAUUUUGCUUUGAGGCCUUGGACAGUAAACCCUG
rnacentral:lncRNA from 1 species